UACGUUCCCGGGUCUUGUACACACCGCCCGUCACACCACGAGAGUUUACAACACCCGAAGUCGGUGGGGUAACCCGCAAGGGGGCCAGCCGCCGAAGGUGGGGUAGAUGAUUGGGGUG
rnacentral:rRNA from 1 species